rnacentral:tRNA from 1 species
GCCUCUGUGGCGCAAUUGGCUAGCGCGUUCGGCUGUUAAUGGCGUCGUAUUGAUACCGGAAGGCUGGUGGUUCGAUCCCACCCAGG